rnacentral:rRNA from 1 species
CUCAUGGCGGACGGGUGAGUAACGCGUAAAGAACUUGCCCUUUAGACUGGGAUAACAGAGGGAAACUUCUGAUAAUACUGGAUAAGUUAGUAUAUCGCAUGAUAUGCAAAUGAAAGCUACGGCACUAAAGGAGAGCUUUGCGUCCUAUUAGCUAGUUGGUAAGGUAAGAGCUUACCAAGGCGAUGAUAGGUAGCCGGCCUGAGAGGGUGGACGGCCACAAGGGGACUGAGAUACGGCCCUUACUCCUACGGGAGGCAGCAGUGGGGAAUAUUGGACAAUGGAGGGAACUCUGAUCCAGCAAUUCUGUGUGUGUGAAGAAGGUUUUAGGACUGUAAAACACUUUUAGUAGGGAAGAAAAAAAUGACGGUACCUACAGAAGAAGCAACGGCUAAAUACGUGCCAGCAGCCGCGGUAAUACGUAUGUUGCGAGCGUUAUCCGGAAUUAUUGGGCUUAAAGGGCAUCUAGGCGGUAAGACAAGUUGAAGGUGAAAACCUGUGGCUCAACCAUAGGCUUGCCUACAAAACUGUUGAACUAGAGUACUGGAAAGGUGGGUGGAACUACACGAGUAGAGGUGAAAUUCGUAGAUAUGUGUAGGAAUGCCGAUGAUGAAGAUAACUCACUGGACAGAAACUGACGCUGAAGUGCGAAAGCUAGGGGAGCAAACAGGAUUAGAUACCCUGGUAGUCCUAGCUG